rnacentral:rRNA from 1 species
GGAUUAGAUACCCUGGUAGUCCACGCUGUAAACGAUGAGUACUAGCUGUUGGGUUCGGUGUAAAGGGCCUAGUGGCGUAGCUAACGCGAUAAGUACUCCGCCUGGGGACUACGGCCGCAAGGCUAAAACUCAAAGGAAUUGACGGGGACCCGCACAAGCGGUGGAGCAUGUGGUUUAAUUCGAUGCAACGCGAAGAACCUUACCUGGUCUUGACAUCCUAGAAAGAAUUCAGAGAUGAAUUUGUGCCUUCGGGAAUCUAGUGACAGGUGCUGCACGGCUGUCGUCAGCUCGUGCCG